AUGCCUGCUGGUCAGACCGUCCAAAUGUAUUGUAUGGGAUCAUUUGUUGUGAACAAAUACACCUGGUACCGUCUGAACCUGACCGCAUACACAGCUAUGAACAUUAACAGCAACUUUCUGACUCUACUUGUCACCAUUGAGGACUCUGGACAAUACGCGUGUUCAGGUUAUUACAAUGGAACAGUGUACUACAGUAAUGUAGUAAACCUGACUGUGGUAGAGAGACUCUCCAAUGUGUGGGUGUCAUCCACACCCAAGGACUUGGUCACCAUGGAGGGGCAGAGUGUCACCCUGUACUGUCAGGCCACCUCCCACCCCCCCUCUGUCAUCUGGAGCUGGAGCAGGUUGGACGAGCAGGGUGGGUGGCAGGAUGUGGGCAUCGGGCGAGAGCUGACCCUGAGCAUGGCAAAGGAGAGUGGGCAGUACAUUUGCCAGGCUUACAGCAAGAUCUUGGUCCUGACGCAGCAGCAACAAAGCCCCUCCCACACAGUCUAUAUCGUCUACUUCCCCAUGACUGGCAGUGUGUAUGCAGGAGUGGCAGGGUUGGUGCUGGUUCUCCUUGCCGGGGUCUUACUGACCUUGUUGCUGCUGUGGCUCUGGAGGCAGCGGGCCAAAGAGAGGGCCGGUCAAGAGACCUUGGCCACCAAUAGUGCACCGGCCAAAGGUGAGUGACACUGUCAAGUAUACUGCACUGUAUCAACAGUUCUGCCAAGUCUUCAGCUAUACUGCAGUUAUUAUUAUAACAUGUAGGCUACUGUAGUUACAGGAAGUAAUGUGUUGUUGUAAAUUAUCAAAAUAUAGGACUAUAGUAGGUUUCUGAAAAGCCUACAAUGUUCAUUCAGACAUUGUAAGUGUUGGUUUGAUUUACUGUGAUGUAUUUUCCAUGUACUUCCAGGAUUUACUGGACCUGCAAAAGCACCAAAGUAAGAGCAU
rnacentral:lncRNA from 8 species